rnacentral:rRNA from 1 species
CCUACGGGAGGCAGCAGGCGCGAAAACUUUACAAUGCUGGCAACAGCGAUAAGGGGACCUCGAGUGCCAGGUUACAAAUCUGGCUGUCGUGAUGCCUAAAAAGCAUUGCAUAGCAAGGGCCGGGCAAGACCGGUGCCAGCCGCCGCGGUAACACCGGCGGCUCGAGUGGUAACCGUUAUUAUUGGGUCUAAAGGGUCUGUAGCCGGCCGGGUAAGUCUCUUGGGAAAUCUGGCAGCUUAACUGUCGGGCUUUCAGGAGAUACUGCUCGGCUCGAGGCCGGGAGAGGUGAGAGGUACUUCAGGGGUAGGGGUGAAAUCUUGUAAUCCUUGAAGGACCACCAGUGGCGAAGGCGUCUCACCAGAACGGACCUGACGGCAAGGGACGAAAGCUAGGGGCACGAACCGGAUUAGAUACCCUUGUAGUCC